GUUAAAAUGAAUCCAUGGUUGGAAUACCUGCUUUUCACUUGAGCUUUUUGUUCCUUAAUCCUUCUGUGCCCUUUUUUUUUUUUUUUUUCUUUUCUUUUUUUAUUUUUGGACGAUGAGUGCCAGUUCUCCGGCACAUUCACUGGGCCCAACAGUGAAAUUGAAAAGUUGGGAAAUGCCUCAACGCCACAUACAAUAAUUGACAAUUAGUCUAAUUUUACUAUUUCUGCUUUUAGAUCCCCAAGAAGGAGAAGCUUUUCGCGAAGCCGGAGCAGGUCUCUUUCUAGAGAUAGGAGAAGAGAAAGGUCUCUGUCUCGUGAGAGAAAUCACAAGCCGUCUCGAUCCUUCUCUAGGUCUCGUAGCCGAUCUAGGUCAAAUGAAAGGAAAUAGAAGACCAGUUGGCAAAAGUGGUGUACAGGAAAUAACUUCAUUUGACAGGAGUAUGUACAGGAAAUUAAAGUUUUGUUUGAGACUUCAUAAGCUUGGU
rnacentral:lncRNA from 1 species